GUGGGGAAUUUUGGACAAUGGGCGAAAGCCUGAUCCAGCAAUGCCGCGUGUGUGAAGAAGGCCUUCGGGUUGUAAAGCACUUUUGUCCGGAAAGAAAUCCUUUGGGUUAAUACCUCGGAGGGAUGACGGUACCGGAAGAAUAAGGACCGGCUAACUACGUGCCAGCAGCCGCGGUAAUACGUAGGGUCCGAGCGUUAAUCGGAAUUACUGGGCGUAAAGCGUGCGCAGGCGGUUUUGUAAGACAGAUGUGAAAUCCCCGGGCUUAACCUGGGAAUUGCAUUUGUGACUGCAAGGCUAGAGUGUGUCAGAGGGGGGUAGAAUUCCACGUGUAGCAGUGAAAUGCGUAGAGAUGUGGAGGAAUACCGAUGGCGAAGGCAGCCCCCUGGGAUAACACUGACGCUCAUGCACGAAAGCGUGGGGAGCAAACAGGAUUAGAAACCCGGGUAGUCC
rnacentral:rRNA from 1 species